ACAACCAACAACCCAAGCCGAAGAAAGUUGGUGGCAGCCGUGCACAAGGUUUCUAGCUAUAACAGGUGCGUGAGUUGAAGAUUUGGUGAGCGUUUACUGGAGUAGUUCAUUUUUUACUACUAGUUGAUUUUGUUUUUCUUUUUGUUAGGCUUACUAGUUGAUUAGUACUCUAGAAUUGGUGCCAAAUCCCAUUAUCAAAAGUUAAUUAAUUUUGUUUAAAACUUUCAUUCAAUAGUUAUUGAAUUUUUAAAGAAUCUGGGAGUAUGACAGACGAUAUAUUACAGUUUUGGGGGGUAUUUUCAAAAAAAUUACACUG
rnacentral:lncRNA from 1 species